rnacentral:SRP_RNA from 16 species
CGGUGACGUCCAGGCAGAGGGCGGUGAUGUGGGACUCCGCGAACCGCGGCAUGUCCUGCGAGACGCAGCCCGAGGCCGCGUCCC